rnacentral:rRNA from 1 species
AGUGAACGCUGGCGGCGUGCUUAACACAUGCAAGUCGAACGAGAACGGAUUAUAGCUUGCUAUAAUUGUCAGCUAAGUGGCGCACGGGUGAGUAAUGUAUAGGUAAUAUGCCUCUUACUAAGGGAUAACAAAUGGAAACGUUUGCUAAUACCUUAUACUCCUUAUUAACAUAAGUUAAUAAGGGAAAGAUUUAUUGGUAAGAGAUUAGCCUGUAUUGUAUCAGUUAGUUGGUGGGGUAAUGGCUUACCAAGACUAUGACACAUAACUGGUUUGAGAGGAUGAUCAGUCACACUGGAACUGAGUCACGGUCCAGACUCCUACGGGAGGCAGCAGUGGGGAAUAUUGAACAAUGGACGAAAGUCUGAUGCAGCAACGCCGCGUGGAGGAUGACACAUUUCGGUGCGUAAACUCCUUUUAUAUGAGAAGAUAAUGACGGUAUUAUAUGAAUAAGCACCGGCUAACUCCGUGCCAGCCGCCGCGGUAA